ensembl:snoRNA SNORA70 Small nucleolar RNA SNORA70
UUGCUACCAGCUAAGCCCACUGUGCUCCUUGCCCUGUGGGAGUCUAGUGUGCAACAGCUGCACACCGCAGCCUCCUCCGUAGUUUCUGCAGCCUGCUGCCUGCAUGGGUUGCUCUGAGGGACCCUGCAGACAGCC